GAUGAACGCUGGCGGCGUGCCUAAUACAUGCAAGUCGAGCGAACAGACGAGGAGCUUGCUCCUCUGACGUUAGCGGCGGACGGGUGAGUAACACGUGGAUAACCUACCUAUAAGACUGGGAUAACUUCGGGAAACCGGAGCUAAUACCGGAUAAUAUAUUGAACCGCAUGGUUCAAUAGUGAAAGACGGUUUUGCUGUCACUUAUAGAUGGAUCCGCGCCGCAUUAGCUCGUUGGUAAGGUAACGGCUUACCAAGGCAACGAUGCGUAGCCGACCUGAGAGGGUGAUCGGCCACACUGGAACUGAGACACGGUCCAGACUCCUACGGGAGGCAGCAGUAGGGAAUCUUCCGCAAUGGGCGAAAGCCUGACGGAGCAACGCCGCGUGAGUGAUGAAGGUCUUCGGAUCGUAAAACGCUGUUAUUAGGGAAGAACAAAUGUGUAAGUAACUAUGCACGUCUUGACGGUACCUAAUCAGAAAGCCACGGCUAACUACGU
rnacentral:rRNA from 1 species